rnacentral:rRNA from 1 species
CAGGGGAAUGCCUUUAGUACGGCGAGUGAAGCGGCAAAAGCUCAAAUUUGAAAUCUGGCACCUUCGGUGUCCGAGUUGUAAUUUGAAGAAGGUAACUUUGGAGUUGGCUCUUGUCUAUGUUCCUUGGAACAGGACGUCACAGAGGGCGACAAUCCCCUGCGAUGAGAUGCCCAAUUCUAUGUAAAGUGCUUUCGAAGAGCGAGUUGUCUG